rnacentral:tmRNA from 1 species
GGGGCUGAUUUAGGUUUCGACUUCGUAUAUUGAGCCAGGGGAAGCGUGCCGGUGCAGGCUGAGGACCACCGUAAGCGUCGCAGCAAACUGAUAAGCGCCGAGAACACUCAGCGCGACUACGCCCUCGCUGCCUAAUCCAGCGACCGCGUGUCUGUCAGACCGGGUUUGCCUCUGACCCGGAUCCUGGCAUCGACUAAGGGGCUUGCCGGUCAGCCGCGUCAGCGGGGCUGAUCGGGACUCCUACCGCUGACUGGGCCCAUCAUCCGGGACGAGUUCGUCCGAGCCGGAGGGCCGAGCAGAGAUCCAGCGCGAACUGCGCACGGAGAAGCCCUGGCGAGGUGACGAAGGACCCGGGUUCAAUUCCCGGCAGCUCCACCA